AAUUGGAGGGCAAGUCUGGUGCCAGCAGCCGCGGUAAUUCCAGCUCUAAUAGCGUAUAUUAAAGUUGUUGCAGUUAAAAAGCUCGUAGUUGAAUUUCGGGAUCAAUAUUUCGGUCAUGCCGUUGGUAUGCACUGUUAUCAUUGAUUUCUCACCUUCUAAAGAACCGUAAUGCCAUUAAUUUGGUGUUACGGGGAAUUAGGACUGUUACCUUGAAAAAAUUAGAGUGUUUAAAGCAGGCUCACGCUUGAAUACAUUAGCAUGGAAUAAUGAAAUAGGACAUCCGAUUCUAUUUUGUUGGUUUCUAGGAUCGAUGUAAUGAUUAAUAGGGAUAGUUGGGGGCAUUAGUAUUCAAUUGUCAGAGGUGAAAUUCUUGGAUUUAUUGAAGACUAACUACUGCGAAAGCAUUUGCCAAGGAUGUUUUCAUUAAUCAAGAACGAAAGUUAGGGGAUCGAAGACGAUCAGAUACCGUCGUAGUCUUAACCAUAAACUAUGCCGACUAGGGAUCGGAUGAUGUUAAUUUUUUAAUGACUCAUUCGGCGCCUUACGGGAAACCAAAGUGU
rnacentral:rRNA from 1 species